AGCAUAAACUUUACCUUAAACUGUCAGAUACAUGAUUUUAAUGCUAUUUUAUUAAUAUAUCACUAAUAACUAUUUUUCUUAUCAACAGAGAAAGUGAAGUAAAAUCCAGUUACUCAAAAAAUCAUUAGAUUUGGAAACACUAGGUAUUCAUGUGUUAAUUUGGUUUCAUUUAUCUGAAGUCUAUAGUUCUGUAUUACCUGAUAUCAAGUCUGUAUAAUCAAAUACCUGAAGGGAAAGUGAGGGUUUUUUUUUUUUUUUUUUACUGAAUCAAGCUCCAAACAUUAUUUUUAUGUUAGUUAUAUGGAGAAUUGAUGAAAGUGGUUUCAUUUAAAGGCCAUCUGUAGGAGAUAAUUGCUUCAGUUUUCCAUUUAGCUAGAAUGAUCCUGACCAUAAUGCCCUCUUCUGUUGAAUUCUUCCUCAAAGUAGGAUUCCAGAAUCGCUACAAAAUCUGAAGCAGUGAUCUUCAUUUCGGUAACUCAGCAUCCACACAGAAAUUCUGUCAUCAUUCAUUUGUAAAACAAUAAGUCUACAUAUCUAAAAGAGUUUUUCAUAAGAAGAAUGUUCCAUAGAAAAAAUAGUUCUCAGGGAAAAAUAAUUGGCCUUUCCCUUAGAGAAGAUGCUAUUAAAUAGUGUGUUAUGAGAA
rnacentral:lncRNA from 1 species